rnacentral:rRNA from 1 species
AUUGAACGCUGGCGGCAUGCCUUACACAUGCAAGUCGAACGGUAACGCGGGGCAACCUGGCGACGAGUGGCGAACGGGUGAGUAAAGCAUCGGAACGUGCCCAGUAGUGGGGGAUAGCCCGGCGAAAGCCGGAUUAAUACCGCAUACGACCUACGGGUGAAAGGGGGGGAUCGCAAGACCUCUCGCUAUUGGAGCGGCCGAUGUCAGAUUAGGUAGUUGGUGGGGUAAAGGCCUACCAAGCCGACGAUCUGUAGCUGGUUUGAGAGGACGACCAGCCCCACUGGGACUGAGACACGGCCCAGACUCCUACGGGAGGCAGCAGUGGGGAAUUUUGGACAAUGGGGGCAACCCUGAUCCAGCCAUGCCGCGUGUUUGAAGAAGGCCUUCGGGUUGUAAAGGACUUUUGUCGGGGAGCAAAACCUAAUGGUUAAUACCUGUUAGGGAUGAGAGUACCAAGAGAAUAAGCACCGGCUAACUACGUG